rnacentral:rRNA from 1 species
GACUACGGCCAUGCCACCCUGAACACGCCUGAUCCCGUCUGAUCUCGGAAGCUAAGCAGGGUCGGGCCUGGUUAGUACUUGGAUGGGAGACCACCUAGGAAGACCAGGUGCUGUAGGUG